rnacentral:rRNA from 1 species
CCUACGGGAGGCAGCAGUGGGGGAUAUUGCACAAUGGAGGGAACCCUGAUCCAGCGACGCCGCGUGGGUGAAGAAGCUUUUCGGCGCGUAAAGCCCUAUCGGCAGGGAAGAAGGAGGACGGUACCUGACUAACGAGCCCCGUCUAACUACGUGCCAGCAGCCGCGGCAAUACGUAGGGAGCAAGCGUUAUCCGGAUUUACUGGGCGUAAAGGGUGCGCAUACGGCGUCGCAAGUCAGGAGUGAAAGCCCUGGGCCCAAACCCGGGACUGCUCUUGGAACUGCGCGGCUGGAGUGCAGGAGGGGGAGGCGGAAUUCCUGGUGUAGCGGUGAAAUGCGUAGAUAUAAGGAGGAACAACGGUGGCGAAGGCGGCCUGCUGGACUGCGACUGACGUUGAGGCUCGAAAGCGUGGGGAGCAAACAGGAUUAGAUACCCCAGUAGUC